rnacentral:rRNA from 1 species
CACGUAGUUGGCCGGUCCUUCUUCUGCAGGUACCGUCACUUUCGCUUCGUCCCUGCUGAAAGAGGUUUACAACCCGAAGGCCGUCAUCCCUCACGCGGCGUUGCUGGAUCAGGCUUUCGCCCAUUGUCCAAUAUUCCCCACUGCUGCCUCCCGUAGGAGUCUGGGCCGUGUCUCAGUCCCAGUGCGGCCGGUCACCCUCUCAGGCCGGCUACCCGUCAAUGCCUUGGUGAGCCAUUACCUCACCAACAAGCUGAUAGGCCGCGAGCUCAUCCUUCUCCGCCGGAGCUUUCCAACCCCCAACAUGCGAAAGGGGUUCAUAUUUGGCAUUAGCCAUCGUUUCCAAUGGUUAUUCCAAAGAGAAGGGCAGAUUGCUCACGUGUUACUCACCCGUUCGCCGCUCGUGUACCCCGAAGGGCCUUACCGCUCGACUUGCAUGUGUUAAGCACGCCGCCAGCGUUCGUCCUGAGCCAGGAUCAAACUCU